UACGUAGGAUGCUAGCGUUGUCCGGAUUUACUGGGCGUAAAGCGCGCGCAGGCGGCACUGUAAGUAUGGUGUGAAAUAUCCCUGCUCAACGGGGAGGGUGCACUUUAGACUGCAGAGCUAGAGGACGGUAGAGGGGGGUGGAAUUGCUGGUGUAGCGGUGAAAUGCGUAGAGGUCGGCAGGAACACCCAGGGGGAAACCAGUGGACUGGGCAGGAGCUGACGCUCAGGUGCGAAAGCGUGGGGAGCGAACCGG
rnacentral:rRNA from 1 species